GACGAACGCUGGCGGCGUGCCUAAUACAUGCAAGUCGAACGCAGUGGGGACGGGUGAGUAACACGUGGGUAACCUCCCAUCAGAGGGGAUAACACUUGGAAACAGGUGCUAAACCGACACUGAUUGAUGGACCCGCGGUGCAUUAGCAAGUGGGUUGGGUAACGGAGCACCAAGGCCACGAUGCUUAGCCGACCUGGUAGGGUGAUCUGCCACACUGGGACUGAGACACGGCCCAUACUCCUACGGGAGGCAGCAGUGGGGAAUCUUCGGCAAUGGACGAAAGUCUGACGCAGCAACGCCGCGUGAGUGAAGAAGGUUUUCGGAUCGUAAAACUCUGUUGUUGGAGAAGCGGUAUCUGACGAGAAAGCCACGGCUAACUACGUGCCAGCAGCCGCGGUAAUUC
rnacentral:rRNA from 1 species